rnacentral:lncRNA from 1 species
UAGUACAACUUUACUCCAUUGUAAGAGUAUAAUAAUGUAAUACAACUUUUCCUGUGAAUUUUAUACUGCUGUCGAUGUCUGUCUCUGUAAAUAAUAUAGGAAAUUAUCACGACAUGAAAAAUGAUUGAAUAAACGUGAACAUGCUCAUGUCGGAAAAAAUAAAAUGGCCGACUCUAUUACAAAGAUAUCAUAACAUGAAUAAUGCAUUGUUAAAUACGAAUAAAACGUGUUUAAGGCACCAAAGGUGGAACUUUACUGCCUCGAUUCACAGCAAAUUUCAAUGCGUGUGAAAAUCAGUCAAAUAAAACAAACAGUACCAAGACGGAUGAUUUGGGUGUGCUUGAGUAUUUUUUUCUUGCAGUGUACACAAUUUUAACUGAAUGGAUUUGGCUCCAUUAAAAAAAAAUAAAAAAUGUUUACUCUGACCUGUUGACAAAUAUAAGAAUUAUUCAAGAAUAUUCAUUAUUAAUCCACACAAUCAUUCCUCUACAAGUACUAUUAGUAUGCACUAAAAACUUUCAGCUGAUAUUUCAAGAGUCAACUCCCCUUGGCAGAGGUGGAUUUAGGGUUAAGCCCAAGAGGCCAGGCCCUGCCAACCUUUUGUGGGGGAAAAUUUAGUUGUAAUAUAAAAUGAAGCAUCCCUCUUAAGCAUGAUUAGUUAAAGAUCAAGCUUAAGUUUCAUUAGGCUGGGCUAAUCUUUGCUGUAAUUUCAGGCUUUGGACUUUGAUAAAUUUUUGAAAAUCAGUUAUACAGACC